AAAAAGUCAAACCCUAGGUUUUUUUUCUAACGUUUGACUGUCUGUCUUAUAUGAAUUUUUUUUAUAAUUAGUAUUUUUAUUAUUGUUAGAUGAUAAAAUAUGAUUAAUACUUGCGUGACUUGUGUUUUUUAGUCUAUUUUUCAUAAUUUUUUCAAAUAAGAUGAACGUCACGUUGUACACGGAAACUC
rnacentral:pre_miRNA from 1 species